UACGGAGGGGGCUAGCGUUGUUCGGAAUUACUGGGCGUAAAGCGCACGUAGGCGGAUAUUUAAGUCAGAGGUGAAAUCCCGGGGCUCAACCCCGGAACUGCCUUUGAUACUGGGUAUCUCGAGUCCGAGAGAGGUGAGUGGAAUUCCGAGUGUAGAGGUGAAAUUCGUAGAUAUUCGGAGGAACACCAGUGGCGAAGGCGGCUCACUGGCUCGGUACUGACGCUGAGGUGCGAAAGCGUGGGGAGCAAACAGG
rnacentral:rRNA from 1 species